CCGAGUUUACAACUCCCAAACCCCUGUGAACAUACCUUAAUGUUGCCUCGGCGGAUCAGCCCGCGCCCCGUAAAACGGGACGGCCCGCCAGAGGACCCAAACUCUAAUGUUAGUGUCGUCUGAGUACUAUAUAAUAGUUA
rnacentral:misc_RNA from 1 species